rnacentral:lncRNA from 1 species
AAGUCAGAGGUCAUUCUCAAGCCCGAGGCUUCAGACUCGGUGUGAAGCUAUUUCUGAAGUACUUCAUCUUCUGAUGGAAACCAUCACAGAGAACCACAACUAAUCAAAAUGCAGAGUUCGGGAGCUCAGACCCAGGGGAUGCAUCUACUUCCACACUGACAGCUCAGGGGACAUUGCAGAUGACGGAGCAGAAAGAUGGCAAGGCCAGAACAUCAGAAGUGUGCUGUGAGACCAUCCCCAUGGUAAUGCCACAGGCUGCACCCACAAAGUCUCACCUAACUAUCACCUGGACAAAGAUAACAUCGUGGACAUGCCAAAGUGGAUGGAGGCAGCUCACAAGACCUCCACUCCACACAAAGGGCUGCAGGCACCUAAGGGAAGCUGAGAGCAGGAGAAACAGCCUUCCCCAGGGAAGAGCUCACCAACUAGUUAUCCACUACCAAGUGGUCAGGCCCCAAAACAAACAUACAAGUUUACCAGGUGUUUUCCACUGAGUGUGCACAGUGAAUGGACAAUAGGAUGGACUAUCCCAGGCAUGGAUCCAGAUGGAAAUCUCUAAUUAGAAAUACAGUGGCCAUCUGCGAUCUUACCUCUGCCGACCUUGUAGGCCUGGGAUGGUUCUGGCCCCUCCCCUUGCCUCACAGAAUUCUGCCGGUCUAGAACUGUUCUAAGAAGCACCCUGAAGUCUCUGCCUGGACUGUUUCUCUGCCUGGACACGUCCCGCUCUUUCACCCCACCAUCACCCUCCUUCAUUUCCAGAAAACAUGGGACUUCCUCAGUACACUCUCCUUUUCCUAAUUUCAUUCACGGCAACUCCAGCUAUAAGGUUUAUGGCAUUGGCAUCAUUAGUUGGACAUUGUCUACCCUUGAAGACCCGUGUUGCUCUCGGAAAUCUGGGAGUUUAUUUACAACUAACAUGCCAUGAACAUGGUAUGAAUACAUGGUAGAAAAAGUUGAUAUGAAGAAUGUUUAAAUAAAUGAAUAGCUUUACAUUUUGUUCCAUUCAUCCUGCGGUUCUCAAGUUUAGAAAUAAAACCAUCACAAUUAUUACAUAAAAAGAAAUAAUGAAUUUCACUUUUAGUUAUUUCUGCUAGUUGCAUAUUUUACUAUAAGCAAAUUGUGUGAUAUUUGAAAUAGUUUGUAACCAUGCAUAUUUUACCAUCUCAUGCAUACAUUUUUAUAUAAUUAAAAUGAAGUUUGAAAUGGCAGCAAUAAAGUAACAUACAAGAUGCAAUUAAAAUUAUUAACUGUAACUUGA